rnacentral:sRNA from 1 species
GGAAGUAAAAGUCGUAACAAGGUUUCCGUAGGUGAACCUGCGGAAGGAUCAUUCAUAAUAAGUGUUUUAUGGCACUUUUUAAAUCCAUAUCCACCUUGUGUGCAAUGUCAGUCGAUCUUCUUCAUGGAGAUCGACCAAACAUCAACCUUUAUUUUUUAACUCUUUGUCUGAAAAAUAUUAUGAAUAAACAAUUCAAAAUACAACUUUCAACAACGGAUCUCUUGGCUCUCGCAUCGAUGAAGAACGCAGCGAAAUGCGAUACGUAAUGUGAAUUGCAGAAUUCAGUGAAUCAUCGAAUCUUUGAACGCAUAUUGCGCUCUUUGGUAUUCCGAAGAGCAUGCUUGUUUGAGUAUCAGUAAACACCUCAAAGCUUUUGGAUUUUUUAAUCGAAAAGCUUUGGACUUGAGCAAUCCCAACACCAAUCUUUUUGAGAUCGGUGGCGGGUUGCUUGAAAUGCAGGUGCAGCUGGACAUUCUCCUGAGCUAAAAGCAUAUUCAUUUAGUCCCGUCAAACGGAUUAUUACUUUUGCUGCAGCUAACAUAAAGGGAGUUUGACCGUAUUGGCUGACUGAUGCAGGAUUUCACAAGGGUCGGCAACGAUUCUUGUUAAACUCGAUCUCAAAUCAAGUAAGACUACCCGCUGAACUUAAGCAUAUCAAUAAGCGGAGGAAAAGAAACUAACAAGGAUUCCCCUAGUAACGGCGAGUGAAGCGGGAUGAGCUCAAAUUUAAAAUCUGGCUGGUUUACUAGUCCGAAUUGUAGUUUAUAGAAGCGUUUUCGGUGGCAGCCUGGGUAUAAAUCCUUUGGAAUAGGGUAUCAUAGAGGGUGAGAAUCCCGUCUUUGACUCAGUGCAUGCUACUAUGUGAUACGUUUUCAAAGAGUC